rnacentral:rRNA from 1 species
UACGUAGGGUCCGAGCGUUGUCCGGAGGUACUGGGCGUAAAGGGCGCGCAGGCGGCGGUGCUGGCCCGGCGUGAAAGCCCCCGGCUCAACUGGGGAGGGUCAUUCGAUACUGAUCGACUCGAAGGCAGGAGAGGGAAGCGGAAUUCCCGGUGUAGUGGUGAAAUGCGUAGAUAUCGGGAGGAACACCAGUGGCGAAGGCGGCUUCCUGGCCUGUUCUUGACGCUGAGGCGCGAAAGCUAGGGGAGCAAACGGG